rnacentral:rRNA from 1 species
UACGGAGGGUGCAAGCGUUAUUCGGAAUCAUUGGGCUUAAAGGGUCCGUAGGCGGUUUUGUAAGUCUGUGGUGAAAGCCCAUCGCUCAACGGUGGAACGGCCAUUGAUACUGCAAGACUUGAAUUAUUGGGAAGUAACUAGAAUAUGUAGUGUAGCGGUGAAAUGCUUAGAGAUUACAUGGAAUACCAAUUGCGAAGGCAGGUUACUGCCAAUAGAUUGACGCUGAUGGACGAAAGCGUGGGGAGCGAACAGG